rnacentral:rRNA from 1 species
UACGGAGGGUGCAAGCGUUAUCCGGAUUUACUGGGUUUAAAGGGUGCGUAGGCGGGCCUUUAAGUCAGUGGUGAAAUCUUCCCGCUUAACGGGAAAACUGCCAUUGAUACUAUUGGUCUUGAAUACAGUUGAGGUGGGCGGAAUGUGUCGUGUAGCGGUGAAAUGCUUAGAUAUGACACAGAACACCGAUUGCGAAGGCAGCUCGCUAAACUGUGAUUGACGCUGAGGCACGAAAGCGUGGGGAUCAAACAGG